CCUACGGGGGGCAGCAGUGAGGAAUAUUGGUCAAUGGACGCAAGCCUGAACCAGCCAAGUCGCGUGAAGGAUGACGGCUCUAUGGGUUGUAAACUGCUUUUGUAUGGGGGUAAAGUGAGGUACGUGUACCUUUUUGUAUGUACCAUAUGAAUAAGCAUCGGCUAACUCCGUGCCAGCAGCCGCGGUAAUACGGAGGAUGCGAGCGUUAUCCGGAUUUAUUGGGUUUAAAGGGUGCGUAGGUGGUUAAUUAAGUCAGCGGUGAAAGUUUGUGGCUCAACCAUAAAAUUGCCGUUGAAACUGGUGGACUUGAGAAUAUUUGAGGUAGGCGGAAUGCGUGGUGUAGCGGUGAAAUGCAUAGAUAUCAUGCAGAACUCCGAUUGCGAAGGCAGCUUACCAAACUAUAACUGACACUGAAGCACGAAAGCGUGGGGAGCAAACAGGAUUAGAUACCCUAGUAGUC
rnacentral:rRNA from 1 species